CAUUUUCUAAUUUCCCACGUGGAUAAUUGCUUUGGUCGGGUAUUAUUUAUAAGCAUCAUUUCAUUUCAAAGCAAGUGAGGAUUUUUUAAUGUCUUUUUUUUUUUUUUUUUUUUUUAGACGGAGUUUCGUUCUUGUUACCUAGGCUGGAGUGCAAUGGCGCGAUCUCAGCUCACAGCAACCUCCGCCUCCUGGGUUCAGGCAAUUCUCCUGCCUCAGCCUCCCGAGUAGCUGGGAUUACAGGCAUGCGCCACCAUGCCCAGCUGAUUUUUUUGUAUUUUUAGUAGAGACGGGGUUUCACCACGUUGACCAGGAUGGUCUCGAUCUCUUGACCUUGUGAUCCACCAGCCUCGGCCUCCCAAAGUGCUGGGAUUACAGGCUUGAGCCACCACGCCCGGCCUAAUGUCUUCUUAUUGUUGAUUUUGAAUUUAAUUUUAUUAGAAAUAUACUACACACUCUUUAAGAUUUUAAUCUGUUGACACAAUUUUACAUAUUUUGUGACAUAGUAUGUGAUCUAACUUAGCAUAUCAUAUGGAUAUUAAAAGAUGUUUAUUUUAUGGUCCUUAUAUUUAGGGUCUGAUAUGGUUUGGCUCUAUUUCCACCCAGAUCUCAUGUUGAAUUGCAGUCUCCAGUGUUAGGGGAGGGACCUGGUGGGAGAUGAUUGGAUCAUGGAAGCAGAUCUUUCCCUUGCUGUUCCCAUGAUGAUGUGCUUGUUUUCCCUUCACCUUCCUCCAUGACUGUAAGUUUCUUAAGGCCUUCUCAGCCAUGCUUCCUGUAUGUCCUGGAACACUCUGCCAUGUAAGAAAUGCUUUCACCUCUUGCCGUGAUUCUGAUGCAUCUUCAGCCAUAUGGAACUAUGUUUGUGAAGAAGCCAAAGAAGAAAGGAGGACAGGAGGAGUUGCUAUGGAAAAAGAGGAGAGAAGAGCAGAGAUAAAGAGAAAGAGGUGGAGAAGAAGAAUAAUUCUUCCGAUGGAAUUUGAGAUAUUGGAAAUAUAAAAGAUGAACUAAAAUCUGGG
rnacentral:lncRNA from 1 species